UGCUAAUUCUGCACUGAGUCUGUACAAAAUCUGCCCAGAAUCAAGACAGAAUUCAUUUAUUCUGUACAGAGCGGAAACAGACCCAGAAUAUACCUUGAAAUCUGUACAGAUUUUCUAUGCAGAAUUACAAUUAAGCAAACUUUUAUCUGUAAAGAUUAUAACCCCAGACAGAAUUUUAACACUUACAAUUUUACAAGACAGAUUUUUAGCAAAUGCAUUUUAGCAAGGCAGAAUUUUUGUACUUGGUAGAAAAAUAAGGCAAAAUGUUUGACUUAGAAAAAAUUCUGAUACAAAAAUUUCAAAAUGGGACUUGUAUAAUUUAAGAAACAGACUUCUGCUUUCAGUUUCAAAUUGCUUAUUGCAGGAAACAUUUCUGUAUUCACCGAAAACCAACAGUAAUGUUCAAUUGAAUCAAUUCAUACAAUAGUUAAAAUGACCAAAAAUAUACAGCAUAUUAUUAGGAACAACAAAAUAUAGCAAUAUUUUUCAUGUCAUAAGGAACAUUAUAGAAAGUUAAAACUUAAACCAACAGGCUUCAAGAAAAAUCUACAAUGGAGUGAAAUAAGGUUUAAUAUUUUACAAAGUUUUUAUUCUUUGCCUAUUGUUGGAUAAAUUGUCCCAAAAUACUGAAAAUUGCUAGAAGAUGUUGCCUGCUGUAUCUCAGCUGUGACAGUUUAACUGAUAUCCAAAGAUAGAAAGAUCCAAUUACCCAAGUAUAUUCAAACACCAGCAUCAGGUGUGGUAAAUUUACUCUUUCACCACAUAUACGUUGGGUAAUUGGCUCUCUUUUAAUGAAAAUAUCCUUUGGAAUGCCAGUGCUUUAACUAUACAAAAUUUGUGACAUGGCAAGAAAAAAAAAACAUUAUAAAAAGAAACAAUUAGGAAAUUAAGACAUUAUAAAAGUGUUGUAAUAUAUAUGGUUUAAAGAUGUUUGGUUUAGUCUACUUUGAAAAGGACAAUACACUUGUAAGUGUGCGACAAAAUCACAGAGACUUGACAUGUCAAGUUUUCAAGCGAAAAUCAAAAUGUUCAAUGAAAUGGGGCGCAGAAGACUAUGAGGGAAGAAUCAUCAUUAAUACCAGAGUCAUAAUACAGAGGGAGACAUUAGCACGGUCAAGAGGCCAUGGUCUGCUGGCGGGGAACGAGCACGUCAUCAUUUCUGCCUGCAAAGGUUAUGUCCAGAUGAGGUGCAAAGACCACAACAAAACAGUGCCAGAUGACACCUCCCUCAACAAGGCAGCGACACUACACUCCAAAUAGAAUACUCCAGGAAAAAAUUGAAAUCAACUUAUUAAAAAACAACUUAACCAACUGAUGAACUAAUUACUUUGUUGCACAUUGGAGUGGCAUACAUUUUUAUAGUAUCUCUUGUUUAAAUUGAGACUCAACAUAGGGGGUGUUAAAUUGUGAUUUUUACCCUGUCAUAACGUAAUCAGAUCAACAACAAAAAAAUUACUGUCAGUUUAUUUCAUUAUAUAUAUUUUAUUGUUUAUAUUUUAUAAUUUCAAUAAAAAAUGUUUUUUAUUGACAGUCUGUAUAUUUUGCUUUU